rnacentral:rRNA from 1 species
UACGGGGGGGGCUAGCGUUGUUCGGAAUUACUGGGCGUAAAGGGCGCGUAGGCGGUCUGCUAAGUUGGAUGUGAAAACUCUGGGCUUAACCCAGAGCCUGCAUUCAAUACUGACAGGCUAGAGUUCUGGAGGGGAUAGCGGAAUUCCUGGUGUAGCGGUGAAAUGCGUAGAUAUCAAGAGGAACACCUGAGGUGAAGACGGGUUGCUGGGCCAACACUGACGCUGAGGCGCGAAAGCCAGGGGAGCAAACGGG